rnacentral:rRNA from 1 species
CCUACGGGUGGCUGCAGUGAGGAAUAUUGGUCAAUGGGCGAGAGCCUGAACCAGCCAAGUCGCGUGAGGGAGUACUGCCCUAUGGGUUGUAAACCUCUUUUGUCGGGGAGCAAAAGCCGGACGUGUCCGGCUGUGAGAGUACCCGAAGAAAAAGCAUCGGUUAACUCCGUGCCAGCAGCCGCGGUAAUACGGAGGAUGCGAGCGUUAUCCGGAUUUAUUGGGUUUAAAGGGUGCGCAGGCGGAUUUUUACGUCAGCGGUCAAAUCGUGGGGCUAAACCCCAUCCAGCCGUUGAAACUGGGGAUCUAGAGUGUGCGAGAGGUAUGCGGAAUGCGUGGUGUAGCGGUAAAAUGCGUAGAUAUAUGGAAGAACACCAGUGGCGAAGGCGGCCGCCUGGCCUGUUACUGACGCUGAGGCACGAAAGCGUGGGGAGCAAAUAGGAUUAGAUACCCUUGUAGUC